rnacentral:rRNA from 1 species
UACGUAGGUGGCAAGCGUUGUCCGGAUUUACUGGGCGUAAAGAGCUCGUAGGUGGUUUGUCGCGUUGUCCGUGAAAACUCACAGCUUAACUGUGGGCGUGCGGGCGAUACGGGCAGACUGGAGUACUGCAGGGGAGACUGGAAUUCCUGGUGUAGCGGUGAAAUGCGCAGAUAUCAGGAGGAACACCAGCGGCGAAGGCGGCGCUCUGGGCCGGAACUGACGCUGAGGAGCGAAAGCGUGGGUAGCAAACAGG